AUUGAACGCUGGCGGCAUGCUUUACACAUGCAAGUCGAACGGCAGCGCGGGCUUCGGCCUGGCGGCGAGUGGCGAACGGGUGAGUAAUGCAUCGGAACGUGCCCAGUAGUGGGGGAUAGCCCGGCGAAAGCCGGAUUAAUACCGCAUACGACCUGAGGGUGAAAGCGGGGGACCGAAAGGCCUCGCGCUAUUGGAGCGGCCGAUGUCGGAUUAGCUAGUUGGUGGGGUAAAGGCUUACCAAGGCGACGAUCCGUAGCUGGUCUGAGAGGACGACCAGCCACACUGGGACUGAGACACGGCCCAGACUCCUACGGGAGGCAGCAGUGGGGAAUUUUGGACAAUGGGGGCAACCCUGAUCCAGCCAUGCCGCGUGCGGGAAGAAGGCCUUCGGGUUGUAAACCGCUUUUGUUCGGGAAGAAAUCCUCUGGGCUAAUACCCCGGGGGGAUGACGGUACCGGAAGAAUAAGCACUGGCUAACUACGUG
rnacentral:rRNA from 1 species